AUGAAAUUGUCAACUUAGGACUUGCUCAUCGUCAUUUGGACUUCUCCUUUCAACCUCGGUUAGUUUCGCCGGGGUUUUU
rnacentral:ncRNA from 1 species